GAUGAACGCUGGCGGCGUGCCUAAUACAUGCAAGUCGAGCGAACGGACGAGAAGCUUGCUUCUCUGAUGUUAGCGGCGGACGGGUGAGUAACACGUGGAUAACCUACCUAUAAGACUGGGAUAACUUCGGGAAACCGGAGCUAAUACCGGAUAAUAUUUUGAACCGCAUGGUUCAAAAGUGGAAGACGGUCUUGCUGUCACUUAUAGAUGGAUUCGCGCUGCAUUAGCUAGUUGGUAAGGUAACGGCUUACCAAGGCAACGAUGCAUAGCCGACCUGAAGGGGUGAUCGGCCACACUGGAACUGAGACACGGUCCAGACUCCUACGGGAGGCAGCAGUAGGGAAUCUUCCGCAAUGGGCGAAAGCCUGACGGAGCGACGCCGCGUGAGUGAUGAAGGUCUUCGGAUCGUAAAACUCUGUUAUUAGGGAAGAACAUAUGUGUAAGUAACUGUGCACAUCUUGACGGUACCUAAUCAGAAAGCCACGGCUAACUACGUG
rnacentral:rRNA from 1 species